rnacentral:rRNA from 1 species
GACGAACGCUGGCGGCGUGCUUAACACAUGCAAGUCGAACGGAAAGGCCCUUCGGGGUACUCGAGUGGCGAACGGGUGAGUAACACGUGGGUGAUCUGCCCUGCACUUUGGGAUAAGCCUGGGAAACUGGGUCUAAUACCGAAUAGGACCACGCGCUUCAUGGUGUGUGGUGGAAAGCUUUUGCGGUGUGGGAUGGGCGCGCGGCCUAUCAGCUUGUUGGUGGGGUAAUGGGCCACCAAGGCGACGACGGGUAGCCGGCCUGUGAGGGUGACCGGCCACACGGGGACUGAGAUACGGCCCAGACUCCUACGGGAGGCAGCAGUGGGGAAUAUUGCACAAUGGGCGCAAGCCUGAUGCAGCGACGCCGCGUGAGGGAUGACGGCCUUCGGGUUGUAAACCUCUUUCAAUAGGGACGAAGCGCAAGUGACGGUACCUAUAGAAGAAGCACCGGCCAACUACGUG